UUUGCAUCUUUCUCCCCCAAGCUAGAGGAAGUGCUGGAGGAAGUCACGGAUUAAAAGAAUGGGGCGCAGGCUUAGGUUAGGGGCUCUUCUUGGCAGCUUUCCCUUUUAGCUAGAAACCCCUAUUACCUUUACGCUAUUAACCCUCGACGGCACGGGUCAGUGGUGUACCCACUUGGAGUUCCUUAUCUCAGAACGCCCUUUCUCUCCCUUUAAACACGAGCUUUAAACUAAUCAGCUGCCGUUGUCCAGUGAUUCAGCUCCAGCUCCCUGGGGGGACACCAGCAAAUCACAGGACAGCUGCUCUUAACACGGAGAAUGUAGAGCUGUGCACAGGGUGUUGGGGGAAGGUCAUGCCGUGGCACUGGAAGGGAAGGCCAGAGGAGAGAGGAGGUCUGGAUGGCCCUUUCCCUUUCGCCUUGGGAACGAGGAUGAGCCUGUCUUUGAUGCCUUGACUGGUUCUGCACUCUUUUCCUCCCGUCCUAAAUUCAGCGACGUGAUACGUAUUUAAGGAGUCGGCCAAACCUCAAAUUACACUGUCUGAGAACCGAGCCACUGCAAAGAAAGCAGUUCGGUUAUUGGCAUGAAACGACAGGACGCUGGCGCGUGGAGAAACCACUAGUAAAAGUGGAAGGAAACGGCUUCGGAAGAUACGGUUACCUGUGUAAAGGAAGCUCAAGUUCCUACCAUCCAUUUCUGAUCAAGCCUGAAAAGCUUGAAGAUAGUCCAAUGGAAUUACAAUGCAGAAAACAGAAGCAAAAUCAAUAUGAGGUAUUUAUGGACUGAAUGUUUGUGUGCCCCUCAAAUCCAUAUGUUAAAGCCUUACCCCCCAGGGUGGCCAAUUUGGAGUUUGAGCUUUGCAGAAAAUAAUUAAGGCUAAAUGAGGCCAUAAAGGCGGGACUCUGAUCCCAUAGGAUGAAUGUUGUCUUAAGAAGAGGGUCCAGAGAGCUCGCUGUCUCUGCACACGAGUGUGCUCACAGACAGGGAAAGGCCAUGUGGGUACACAGCGAGAAGGCGUGCCAUCCAAAGCCCAAAGGGAAAGCUCUCACCAGGCACCAACCAUGCCAGCACCUUUAUCUCGGACUUCAGCCUGUGAAAAAUAAGCUUCUGUUGUUUAAGCCACCCAGUCUAUGGUAUUUUGUUAUGGCGGCCCCAGCUCUCUGGGUCCCCGCCUGCAGGCUAUCCCACACUCCCUACGGGCCAUCGCAUGGUCACUCUUGCCUGCCCAGAGCAGCUCACAUGCUGGCUCAGAGACCCUCUGUCUCUUGCUCCUCCCUGUCUCUUGGCCCCAGGCAGAGAGAGGAAAAUGCCAUAAUGCCAUAAACGAGCUCUACAAAGACCUCCCUGUCCAAAAUGAAGAUGGGUUUUUAUUUAACAUCUCUGUCUGAAGCAGUUUCAUCUGGAUGACACCGCUGGCUUUUCCAAGAACCAGCCUUGUUGGGGAAAAGGGAGCAUCUCUCUAUCAGCCUUUUACCCUCGAGUGUAGACGGCAAUGCAGCUUCUUUUUCCUUUAAUAAUAAGAAAAAUUUUAGACAUUUACAAAAUUGAUAGAAUAGUACAAGGAAUGCUCACAUACCCUUUACCUAGCCUGAAUAAUUGCCAGCAUUGGCCUUGUUUGCUUUAUCUACAUACAUGUAGCUCUGUGUGUGUGUGUGUGUGUGUGUCUGUGUGUGUGUAUGUAUGUGUGUGUGUCUGUGUGUGUCUGUGUAUGUGUUUGGCUGGUUCAUUUAAAAGUAAGUUUUACAGGAGCACCUGGAUGGCUCAGUCGGUUGAGCGGCCGACUUCAGCUCAGGUCAUGAUCUCACUGUUUGUGAGUUUGAGCCCCAUGUUGGGCUCUGUGCUGACAGCUCAGAGCCUGGAGCCUGCUUCAGAUUCUGUGUCUCCCUCUCUCUGCUCCUCCCCGCUCAAGCUCUCUCUCUUUUUCUCAAAAAUAAACAUUAAUUUUUUUUAAAGUAAGUUGUACAAAUUGUGACACUUUAUCCCUAAACAUUACAGCUUGCACCCCCUAAGAAUAAGGACAUUUUACAAAUCACUAUACAGGGAAAGCAACAGUAUUUCCAUAAUGCACACAACUUUUAAAAUAGCCUUUUCAUUGUUUCUGCUAUUCCGUCCUCACACCUGAGGCCAUAAAACAGCAAGAGGUGUCAGUACUUGGGAAGGCCAGUGCCUAAUUUCCCCAACCACAUUGGGAAAUAAAGUUGCUAGGAUCUUAGGUGUAGGAUUAAUUUAUGAUCAGAGCAGAGAUGGGUAAAGUUACCCAUCUGCAAGGGCUGCCAGAUCUUCAACAUAUGACUGGGUGUCCAGAUGAAAGGUAUUAACAUAUCUAAAGAAAAACCCUUUCUGGUCAGAAAAGGCCAGGAUCCGGAGCAAAGACGAGAUCCAGAAGCAAACGUUUCAGUGGCUAUCACGUGCCGUUAAGACUGCCUGCUCUCCUGGAUUGAACCAGACAUCUGGCUGUUUCAGCUUUCUGUCUGAUAAAACAAAAUGCCGCUUUUCAAAGGAAACCUGAAAAUGUCUAUGAAUGUCAAGAGGCUGUGAGUGGGAGCUCGGUGUUUCUGAUCCCUGCGUGGUGAGAGAGGCACAGAAUGGAUAUUCCAACUCGCUGGAGAUGCUCUCCCUGUGGCUCUAAAGUCAGAAGUAAAACUUGGUUUUCAGGGCAAGCUCUGUUCUGCUGUGCUCUCUGUCGGUCAUACGAUGUGAGAAAAGUGUAUGUUUAUGGGGUAGGUGGUAGUGCUGGGUAUAGGUGAGGCACCAAAUAUAAAUAUUAUAGAUAGGGCUGUUAGGUGUUCUGAGUUACAGUUUUCUCCCUGGGAGGUUUUGAAGGCAGCUUUUGUGGGGGCCCUGGAUGGGAGUCCAGGGACAGCAGGGAGGGGAGAGGCUCUCUGUUCUGAAGAUGUCAUCUGGAUUUAACUGCAUGGGUGGUGAUGGGUCAUAGACGUGGUGGCCGAUCAGUCUGGGAUUUUUUCACUUUUGGUUGUGCCUCACAAGCAAUCACUCCUACCCACCCCUUUUCAGAAGAAGGCCUGCAGGGCUCUUGGUUAUUGCCCCCAUCAUCCCCUCGCCCAGACAGGAGAAGAGAUCUAGCUGGCCAGAGGUGGUGGCAGUGAGCAUGCGUGACUGGAAGGGAUGGGAGGAAGGCACUGCCAGGGUUUAUGGACGCCUGGGGGAAGUUGGGUGCCCAAAGGGGCCCGUUCGUUGUUUUACCUUCCAUUCAAACUCAAAAUUCAAACCAAUACUUAAAUCGUUAGGAACAAAAUUGUGCAGCAUGUUUAGUUUGAGGAGUCUACUCAUUUGGCCAAUGGUCUAUUGACCCCUCAAGGAAGCCUCAGAAGCCAGUGAAUAAGAGCUGUGGAAGUGAAGCCCAGAAAGAUUUUUCUAGGACAUUUGCCAGCUACACAGCAUUGUCAGAAUAUGGUUGUAUUUCCAGGAAAAAAAAAAAAAAAAAAGCUGGUGGCAGGGAAUACCAUUAAUUAGUUAUUCCCAAGUGUCUUUGCAUCUUCUGGAGGAUUGUACUACACCCUACUUGGUCUGUUUGCUGUUUGGAAAUGGGACAUGUGCCUCAGUGUGUGGGAUUCCUAUUAAACAUGAAAUUUGACCCCGCAAGUACUAUUGAAUCCCAUAAGUAUUGUCCAUGUAGGAGUGGGCCUCAGCUAAUGGACUUCAAAUAUCCCAGUCCCAUUUGAAAGGCCCUCUCUGUAACAAGAAAGGUGAGCUGGCUCUCGUAGCAUGAUACCAUUCAACGUGGGAUUGUUCUGAUUUCCCUUCAUUCAGAUUCCAUGCCGGAAAAACAACUCUUUUUAGCUGCCUAGGGCUAUUGUAACAAAGUACUACAAACUGGAUGGUUUCAAACACUAGAAACUUAUUUCUCUCACAGUUCUUGUGGCCGGAAGUCUGAAAUCAAGAUGUCUGCAGGGCCACACUCCCACCGAAAUGUGUAAGAGAGAAGGCUUCCUUGGCUCUUCUAGUUUCUGGUGUUUUCUGGCAAUCCUUGGUGUUCCUCGGCUUCUAGAUGCAUCUCUCCAAUCUCUGCCCCUGUCGUCACAUGGCUGUGAUGUCUGUGUGUCUCUGUGUCUCUUCUUAUAAGGACACUAGUCAGAACGGACAGUCACCCUAUGACCUCAAUAUUAACUUAAUCAGACCUGCAAAGACCCUAAGUCCCAAUCAGGUCAUGUUUACAAUGAAUGGGGGUUGGGCCUCAACACAUGUCUUUGGGCGGUGGGGGGACUCAGCUAAACCCUUAGCUUAUGCUGUUGUGUCCAUGGAGACUCCCUUCUGGGAAAGUAUGUCUUCGUCAUACGUCCUUUAAGUAUUCCAAUUCCUGUGUCAAUGAUUUCUUAUUGUAAAAUUUCUACAUUUGACUUAGAGAAUGGUUUCGCUUUCCAUGUAGCUAGGCCAUAGGAAAAUAAGGCCCUGACUGACUAUAUGUGGACUGGGGUUUUCCAUUUCCAGAGAGAAUAAUGUCUCAGUGUAAGCUAAUAAACUGGCUUUCCACUUUGAUUCAUCUCAUGAUCUGUCUCUGCAAAGAGAGGAGCAGCUACCUUCUCUGUGCCAACAAAACCAAAUUUCUGAACUUCUAGAGGCUGAGGAAUAAACUUUGUGCUAAUUUACCAAGAUAACGACCAAUCAUAAGGAGCACAAGGCAGCUGUGGCAUCUGGGUAUUCCCCGGGCCAACGACCCAGUAUUACACUUGCCAUGUGGUCCCGUGUGAGGCCUGUUAUUUGUCUUGUUUUGGAUUUCCAAUAUAUGGGCUUUUGUUCUGUGUGAGGAAUAAGUAUUCCAAAGAGCGUUUGGUCCCCUUGGUAAAGCAAACAAAACUCCCAACCACAGACAAAAAGAGUUGAUUAAAACCAAGAAUGUUUCAGAUCUUGUCUCAGAUUCAAACUUACUAAGAAAACAGAUAAUUUUUAAAGAAAAUUGGUAGGAUUGUUGGUAUAAUGAAGUAACCCAAUGCAUCAGUCAAAAGAAUCCUGAUCAUGGCAAAGUCUCAAAUCUCUGAGGUUAUGAAAUCAAAUUUCAGCAGAUUCAUUCUAGAGGACAGCGGGGUUUUCUUUUUCAAUUUUAAGUUAAUUAACUAGUGAGGAAAUGCAGUGCAGAUGUAUAACGUUUAUGACAGGCAGUGAAUCUGGCACCUUCCAUGGCAAUAAAACAGAGACACCUGCACCCUGUUCAACUAAGGCAGAAGACACUGGCAUAAACAGUGGUUGUGUGAAGAUGAGGACCAGAUGACUGAUGGGGCUCUUUCAAGGGAAUGGCUGAGGUAGGAACCGACCAGAAGUGGGGGAGGUUAUUUAGUUGACCAGGGUCCAGAUGGCAGGCAGGCUUGCCUGAAGGGUAGCACUGUAGGGCAGCAGGGUGGAAAGGCAGGGUUAAGCUGACCUGGAGCAAAUCUCUCAGGACAGUGCUUCUCAGAUGCCAGUGUGCCCAAGAGAAUCACCAGGAGAGCUUUUUAAAAACACAGAUUCUGAUUCGGUACAUCUGGAGUGAGGCCCAUAUAUCUGCAUUUCUAUCAAGGUGAGGCAAAUGCUGCUGGUCUGUGAACCCCAUUUUGAGUAGCACAGUGCUAGAAAACACCUCAAAGCUGGGAGUCGCUACUGGAGUUAAUUUUCUGUGGAAACAGCGAGUCCUCAGAGAAAGAGGAGCUUGGGAAAGCAGUGUUAGGCUGUGUAUCUGUUAGCACGGUGCAGCUGCUAAUGGCAGGCAUCUGAGAGCCCAAUGUUAAUCACACCUAGCGAGUAGAAAGCUUAUAAGGGUUUCCCAGGGUUUUUCCAGUUGGGCAACGCCUCUCAGAAGGUAGAAAAGCCAGAUGGUUUUAAAUAGCUCGCUCUUAAAAAAAAAAAAAAAGUCUGGGGCACCUGGGUGGCUCAGUCAGUUAGGCGUCUGACUAUGGUUCUCGCCAUUCGUGAGUUCGGGCCCCACAUCAGGCUCUGUGCUGACAGCUCAGAGCCUGGAACCUGCUUUGGAUUCUGUGUCUCCCUCUGUCUGCCUCUCCCCUGCUUGCACUCUCUCCCUCUCUCUCUCUCUCUCUCUCAAAAAUAAAAUAAACAUUAAAAAAUUAUAUAUACAAAAACAAUGCCUGAGUUAGUUGGAUUCUAAGUUACAAGGACCUAUCAGGGAGAAUUAUUUUAUCAUCCCCUCAUUUGGCAUCUCCGAGUCAGUUAGCAUUAUUAUUAUUAUUAUUAUUAAAUAAUGAUGAAAGUUGUAACUACCCUUUAUUGCAUGCCAACUGUGGGUCACAUGAGGUGCCCACCAUUUACAGUGGGGCCAUUCUCGUUAAACAUCUGUGGGCAUGUAGUAUUGUGCCAGGGUGUUUGGAGAAUCACAGGAUGACACGGUACCUCUCCUGGGAGUGUGAAUACUACUUAAACAUGUUGGAGAAAACCAGAAUUUUUCAUGUUAGAAUAAGCAUGCAAAUAUUACAGCAUAAAAGGCAGUCUUUCAUCCCCUUUGUUCUUACAAGGCGACAUUGAUACUCUUCCCAUCUAGUGGUAGGGUCUAUGUCUCUUCUCCAUGGACCUAAGUGGGCCUUUAUGACUAUACUAACAGAGUAUGGUAGAAAUGACACUGUGUGACUCCCGAGGCUAGGUCAUAAGAGUGCCAUGUUGGCUUGGGAUGCUCACCUUUGGAACCCAUCCACCAUGACAGUAAGUCAAGUAACCAAGGUAGAAGUCCAUGUGGAGAGGAACUGAGCCCCCAGCUCUCAGCCCUGACCUCCCAUCCUACUGUCAGCACUAACUUUCCAGGCAUGAGAAUAUGGCAUCUGGGGAGUGAUUCUUCAGUCCCUACUCGAGUCCCCCCAGUUACUACUGUGUGAAGUAGAUAUGAGUGUUCCCCUGUAAGCCCUGUCCAGGUUAUACAUGUGUGAGGUAAAGAAAUGGUUGUUUUAAUCCAUUUGGUUUUGGAGAAUCCACUUUGCUUGCAGAAAUAAGUAACUAGAUGGAUAGAGGCUGAUAGAUUGGCAGUUCUGUGAAGUGCCAUGGGAGUAGCGAUUUACAGGCCAGCCAGGCAGGAUCCCAGGCAGCCUGUGACCUUGUCACUCCUCUACCUAUGAACUGUGGAUAGAGGAGUACUGAAGCAUGUACCAGAGCACAGAAGAGGAGUGCACUGGGGUUGGAGGCCACUGAAGCAAAAAUAAGGAGAAAGUGUAUUCUCUACACUUGAAAGGGUCAAAGGUCUUUUAAUGUUCUUGAAGACCAGUUUUCCCUAGGAAAGAAUUAAGUAAAAAAAAAAAUAAUAAUAAUAAUAAAAAAGAGGAAAUCCACUUGGAUUCACUUGAAAUAAAGCUGCUGGGAUGAAAUCAAUGUAAAAACAAGACUUGAGAAAUGGUAACCGUGGAGAGAAGAGAUCAAUCUUGGUAGAGGCUUGCAUUGCAAUGUGAAAAACAUGUUAGAAUCUAAAUGAAGCAAUUGCGGUCAUAAGCACUGGAUGUUAACUUUGACAGUGGAGGAAGCACACAAUUAGGAUGAUUCUGAUCCAAGCAAGGGGGUUGCUGGAGGGCAGAAGGAUGGGGAGACCAAGAGUAUUUGCCAGAGAAAAACACUGCAUGGAGCAGGAAGGGCAGAUACUCAGAUGGAAACACAUUCAUUCAGGAACGUGGGAGACACAGCUCACACAAGACAUGGUCUGGGGGACAUCAUCCUUCCAUUAGCUGUAGGAACUCUCAGAACAAACCAUUUCAUCUCCUGAGCCAACGGCCUUAAAGUUUUAAGUAGCCUGAGUUCAAACUCUAGUGUGUAAAACACGACGUCAGAUGUGUCCCCUCAUUCUCUGGUCCCCUGUCCUUCUGGUGUCCCUCUUUGAAGGUCAGAGCCUGUUACUCUUACUGUGCUGUGAGCACCACUGGAGGCAGGGAGGUAUCUCCUCCACACCGCAGAUGCUGGGAAACAGCUUGUUGAUUGCCUGGAUGAGUGCAAGUGUAUGGGAAGGAACCCAGCACCCACUGGUGGAGGGGAGCGCCUGCGGAAGGAGAGGGCAAUGGGUGUGCUGGGCUGGGAUACCAGGGGUGGGGAUGCCAGGAGGUCAAGUUUCAGGAAGUCCAAAGCCGUGCUUAAGACCUUCUAAGUCAAGUGCUGAUAAGACAGGAAGUCUAACCGGUCUUUUUCAGUUUCCUUCGACCUCCUCUGGGGUGGGGGUGGGGGGUGCCUAUGAGCAGGAAAAUGACCCACAGAAGAGGAGGAGUUGAAAGAAUCCAGGCUCCUAACUGGAGCCUGAAAGGGGCUGGGCCACCAUCCUGCAGAACCGCAUUCCACACCCUUCUAGGGCUGCCCCUUCCUUUUUGCCAGUCAGGGCUCUGGCCCUCCAGCUAGGCAGCCCUGGGUGAAGGCGGACAGGACAGCCUCUUGAUCCUGUGGCCUGCCUGCCACAUGCCCAGUCACCUCUGGUGACGCAGAGUCCCCAAUGGUGGGGAACCCCAGAUGUCGCCCUGAAAUCAGAACGUUUGCAAGCUAGGGAUGACCCAGGCAGUGUAGUUCAACCCUUUCUUUUAUAGCCAGGGGAAUCCAGGGAUCUGAAAUGCUAAGUAGCUUAUUCGAGGUGGUGGUGAGCGGGGCAGGAGUUAAUGUCUCCUCGCCCUGGUUUCCACCACAGCCCAUGCCGUCCACGACUGCCUCCCUCCAGAGAGAACUUUGAUGGUCGCAGAGCAGGGUUCUCUGCCAUCUCCCUGCUUUGUCUCUGUUCACCCUCCCCAAGGUGGAAGGAAGUGGGUUUUCUACCCUCUUCAUCCCUGUGUUUAUCUCCAUCCUCCCCUGCAAAGCAGCGGUGUUUUGGGGGGGGGGUGCGGGGAGGGGUGGGUAUACGUAAGUUCCCAUCGAAGUUUGGCUAUGAGAUAUCACCUGCAUGACAAAUAAGACUUGGUACAGUGGAGAUCCCUCUCUGUAGAAUGUGGGGAUUCUGGCUGCUGUGGGUUCAGUUGUGCUCUCCAAAAGAUAGAUUGAAGUCCUAACCCCAGGUACUUGUGAAUGGAAAUAGGGUCUUGGCAAACGUAAUGAAGAUGUAAGUUAAGGGGCACCCAGCUGGCUCAGUCGGUAAAGCAUAGGACUCUUGGUCUGAGGGUCAUGAAUUCAAGCCCCACUUUGGGCGUGGAGCCUACUUACUUAAAAAAUUAGGGCACAUGGGUGGCUCAGUCAGUUAAGUGUCAGAAUUUGGCUCAAGUCAUGAUCUCAUGGUUUGUGGGUUCAAGCCCCACUUGGGGCCCUGACAGUUUGGAGCCUGAAGCCUGCUUCAGGUUCUGUGUCUCCCUCUCUGCCCCUCUCCUGCUCAUGCUCAUGCUCUGUCUCUGUCUCUCUCUCUCAAGAAUAAAUAAACAUUAAAACAAAAUUUUUAAAAAAGUGUUAACGUCCGUUUAAAAAAAAGGUGUAAGUUAAGAUGAGGUUGUGCUGGAGUUGUGUGGGCCAGUGCACAGGCCAAUGAAUAUUUUUCCUUUUUAAAAAUUGUUUAUUUACUUAUUUGAGGGAAGGGGUAGAAAGCGAGAGCUACAGUGAGAGAGAGAGAGAGAGAGAGAGAGAGAGAGAGAGAGAGAGAGAGAAUCCUAAGCAGUGUCUGUGCUGUAAGCAUGGAGCCCAACGUGGGGCUCAAACCCACAAACCGGAAGAUUAUGACCUGAGCCGAAAUCAAGAGUUGGAUGCUUAACCAACUGAGCCUCCCAGGCGCCCUAAUAUUUUUCCUUUUGUAAAAUUUAUUUUUCUUGGGUGACUUGUAAAAGCAGCUUUAUUGAGUUACAAUUGACGUAUGGUAAUGAAUUGCACGUGUAAGUAAAUACCCAGAAACAGUCACCCCAUCAAGACAGUGAGCAUAUACAUCACACUUGGAAAUUUCCUCUUGCAUCUAUAUUUUCUUAUUAGCUACUGAGACAGAACAGAUUGAUGAGUUGGGCUGCAGACGUGUAACAAGCUGAUUUAUACCUUCAUGGUUACUUCUCGAGGCAUCUCUAGUUUCUAAAAAGCCAGGAGGAAGGUGACAAAAUUUAAGGCUUUUCUACUAUGAAGUCUUAUUAAUCACCUAAAUUUCCAAUGAUUAAGUAUUUGACCUCAAGGGGCUUUUGAUAAGAUUAAUUGGAAGGUAUUUGCCAUAGAAAAUUUAUUUUGCUACACUGUAAAGCUUCUAGUGUCACAGCAUCUGGUCCUGGGAAUUUGACUCAAAGAAUCAAGGACUCUUGGAAAAAAACAAACAGAACUUCCAAGGAAUUUUAGGAUUUCCUUUGUUUAUGAGCCAUAAUUCCAGGAGGAAGGAAAUGAACACUUAUUAAGUGCCUUCUAUAUGUCAAGCACUUUACAUAAAAUAAAUAAUUUAAUCCUCACAAAUAACCAGGGGCAGAGAGGGGAUUACCACCACGUUUACAAAAGGGGAAAUAGGAUCUGAGAGUCUAAGCGACUUGCCUGAGGUGACAUAGCAGGGGGCAUGAGCUGGAAUUAAAACCCAGAGCUCUACGAUUCGAGACCAUCCUUUUCAUAUCAUGAAUUUACCCUCUGCUCCCCAGCCCUGGACAGAUUGACUUAGAUAGACAUAGCUACACACACACAUAUAUGCAUACAUAGGAGGAUGUGCUAUAUGUUCCAUUCUUAAAACCUCCAGAGGCACCCAGCUGACUCAGUUGGAAGACUGUGUGACUCUUGAUCUUGGGGUCGUGAGUUUGAGCCCCAGUAGGGUGUAGAUAUUCCUAAAAAUAAAUAAAUAAAUAAACAAAUAAAUAAAUAAAUAAACUAAAAAAAAAAAAAAC